UCAAGUACAAAGCUGGAAAGAAGAAUUGAUGCAGACAUUUUUGUCUUGUUCCUGAUUUUUAAAGGCCUUCUAACAUUUCACCUUAAAGAAUGAUGUUUGAAGAAUGACGUUUGCUGUAAUUAUUUGGUUAAAAAAAACUCUAUCAGAGCCUGCCCUACCCAGAGCCCAGAGUCCCCUGAGUCUUGUCCCAUCAGAGUGUUCAUCCACAUUCUUCCUCACACGUUGGAAACUCUAAGUAGGCCUCAUUCUUUAAAGUUUCCAGAGGCCAGUUUGGCCAGUCUGUGCUUGGUGACUGCUGGUUUGAUGAAUGAAUGCAAGCAUGCAGAGAUGGCCCCUGAGAGCCCAGGUGCAACCACUCUCCAGUCGGGCCAAUUGGUCACAUAAUCAAUGGCUGGACACGAUGUUUCAAACCAGGAGGCUUCUGAACAAGGCUGUGCACCUACGUCAAUUUUAGAUGCUUUUCUGAAUCUGCCAUUGCAUGAGGGAAUGCGGGAACAGACAUUGUAAGGGGAAGGAGCCACUCUGGACGGAGUUUCAGGCAGCCUGAGUUCACAUCCCAGCUUUUUCCCCUCCCCCUUCCUAGCUGUGUGGUCUUGGGCAAGUCACUUCACCCGCAAGAGACCUCACUUCCCUGAAUCGUCACAUGAAAAUACCAUCACUCUCACCACAGUGUUGUCACAAGGGGGGAUGAAUGGCUUGUGUGAGCCCAGCAAGGAGGAGGUACCCAGUUCACAUACAUCUCCUUCGGUUCAUGCACCAGGCUGGCUCCUUUUCUAGGAGAUUCCCAGACUUUUGUAGCUUGGAGACUAGGAAAAUCUCAAAAUAUAUUUUGAUGAGCCUAAGUUUGCCAACUUUUUAUUUUGCCAAGGAUAACAGUAUAUA